UACGAAGGGGGCUAGCGUUGCUCGGAAUCACUGGGCGUAAAGCGCACGUAGGCGGAUCUUUAAGUCAGGGGUGAAAUCCUGGAGCUCAACUCCAGAACUGCCUUUGAUACUGGGGAUCUCGAGUCCGGGAGAGGUGAGUGGAACUCCGAGUGUAGAGGUGAAAUUCGUAGAUAUUCGCAAGAACACCAGUGGCGAAGGCGGCUCACUGGCCCGAGUACUGACGCUGAGGCACGAAAGCGUGGGGAAGCAAACAGGG
rnacentral:rRNA from 1 species